CGACCUCAUGGACCUCUGGCCUGCUCUCAAAAUAGAGUCUGAGUUGUAUGCAGAGUUCCAGCGGAUUACAAAUCAGAACCUGCCCAACACGUGCUAUGCUGAGCUUGACCGCUAUCUUCCUCGACUGAUGACCUUAUUCAGAAGGCAUCAAAAACUGGGAAGACAGCAGAUGCUCUGGCUGAAAUUUUAAAAAUCCACGAUGAACAGGAAAUCCAUGACAUACACACCAAGCGCACUACUGUUCUCCACGUCCUUCCUGUGUAUCUGCGCGAGGACGUCUCUGGAUGUUUAAGAAACUGCACAGAUGAGUCCGAUGAGCCAGAGCUUGAUGGUGUUGCAGUGGGCCUCAU